rnacentral:rRNA from 1 species
AUGCAACUGGGCGGUUGUGUUUCAUUUGCCGCAUCGUGUGUAUCGUCAGUUUGGUCUGUUCCAGCCUCACCGCCGGAUUGGGUGGACACGGACAAAGCACUUCAUAGGUUGGACAGGACAAGGCAGCGGAAGAUAAAGGACUGGGACAAGCAUCAUGCUUCGUAUGUUACCCGCUUCCAGCUUUGUGUGGAGCAAGCUUGUAGCACUUCACGCGCCCCGCUUCGUGAGCACAACUCACUUGCUUUUGAUAACUACGUAUGA